AGCGAACGCUGGCGGCAGGCCUAACACAUGCAAGUCGAACGAACCUUUCGGGGUUAGUGGCGGACGGGUGAGUAACACGUGGGAACGUGCCUUUAGGUUCGGAAUAACUCAGGGAAACUUGUGCUAAUACCGAAUGUGCCCUUCGGGGGAAAGAUUAAUCGCCUUUAGAGCGGCCCGCGUCUGAUUAGCUAGUUGGUUGAGGUAAUGGCUCACCAAGGCGACGAUCAGUAGCUGGUCUGAGAGGAUGAUCAGCCACAUUGAGACUGAGACACGGCCCAAAAUCCUACGGGAGGAGGCAGUGGGGGAUCUUGAACAAUAGGAGAAAGAAUGACGCAGCCAUGCCGCGUGAAUGAUGAAGGUCUUAGGAUUGUAAAAUUAUUUCAACGAGGAAGAUAAUGACGGUACCCGGAGAAAAAGCCACGGCUAACUACGUG
rnacentral:rRNA from 1 species